rnacentral:rRNA from 1 species
UGUCCCUAGGGGCGCAGCAGUGGGGGAUAUUGCGCAAUGGGGGAAACCCUGAUGCAGCGACGCCGCGUGUGGGAAGACGGUCCUCUGGAUUGUAAACCACUGUCCCCAGGGACGAAAAUGACGGUACCUGGGGAGGAAGCUCCGGCUAACUACGUGCCAGCAGCCGCGGUAAUACGUAGGGAGCGAGCGUUGUCCGGAAUUACUGGGUGUAAAGGGAGCGUAGGCGGGGAUGCAAGUUGGGUGUCAAAACUACCGGCUCAACUGGUAGUCGCACUCAAAACUGCAGCUCUUGAGUGAAGUAGAGG